UUGAAAACCACAUAAUUUUUACAAAACAAAGAAAUAAAAAAAAAAUGAUUUUCUUGAAGUUGAUCACCUAACUUAUUAUUUGAGCACAAUGCUCAUCAUUAAGUUUGGGGUUGCUCUUGGGAUUUGCAACCUAUUAAGUUUGGGGUGGGGUACUAGAGAACUAAAAGAAAAAUAUUUUGAAAAAGUUUGUGAAAAAAAAAAAAAGAGAAUGUCCCUCAUUAAAAGAAAGGAAAUGGUGAAAGAAAUGAAAAAUAAAUAAAUAGAAUGCAAAAUGCAUAACACCAUGUUUGAAAAAAAAAAUGAAUAAAAAAAAAAUUUGUCGAGGGACUUCUUUGUGAAAAAAAAAAUGUGAGCAUGGAAUGAGUUCAGACAUUGUGAAUUCAUUUGCAUGAGGAAAAAUAUUGUGAUAAUUAAGUUCUCUAGUAUGAAUGUGAUGAUUUUGGGGGAUCAAUUGAUAUGUCCACUUUUGUUUGAAAUAGGUGAUCUUAUAAGCUUCAAGUUUUUUUUACCUAGUUUCCCAAAAAUAUCCACCCUUCAAUAAACCUAAGCCACGCUAUAACCCGGAAAGUCCUCGAAAGGUGCAUAUUCAUUGUAUGUCGAUCGAUUUUUAGAGUCCUUGCAAGCCUAUGAUAGAAAGGUGUAGAUUGUGUUGAUUGAGUGUAUGUCCCUAAACACUUGAGAGAAUUUUGAUUAGAUUGUGUGAAGAGAGAAUUGAGUUUGAUGGAUGAAUGUUGGAUGAAUUGUUUUGAAUUUCCGAUUGGUUGUUAGUAGAUGAAAGUGACCUUGAGCAUGAUAAUUUUUGUAAAAUGACAUGUUUUGUUAUUGAUUACGGAGAUAGAUUAACAUGAAUGUUUGGUUUGGUGUUUGAGGUUGAGUUGCACUCUUUUGAAAGC
rnacentral:lncRNA from 1 species